rnacentral:misc_RNA from 1 species
UCCGGCUUAACGCCGGCAGUCUACCUAGAGUGCCCAACUUAAUGGUGGCAACUAAGUACGAGGGUUGCGCUCGUUGCGGGACUUAGCCCAACAUCUCACGACACGAGCUGACGACAGCCAUGCAGCACCUGUGUCCCCGCCAGCCGAACUGAAGGAUGAGGUCUCCCCCACCCAUACGAGGCAUGUCAAGAGCUGGUAAGGUUCUUCGCGUUGCGUCGAAUUAAACCACAUGCUCCACCGCUUGUGCGGGCCCCCGUCAAUUCCUUUGAGUUUCAGCCUUGCGGCCGUACUCCCCAGGCGGGGCACUUAAUGCGUUAGCGCCGGCCCUCAGAGGGUCGCUCCCCCAAGGACCUAGUGCCCAUCGUUUACGGCGUGGACUAC